rnacentral:rRNA from 1 species
CCCUUAGAUGUCCUGGGCCGCACGCGCGUUACACUGAUGCAUUCAACGAGCUUAUAACCUUGGCCGAGAGGCCUGGGCAAUCUUGUUAACGUGCAUCGUGAUAGAGAUAGAUUAUUGAAAUUAUUAAUCUUGAACGAGGAAUUCCUAGUAAACGCAGAUCAUCAAUCUGCAUUGAUUACGUCCCUGCCCUUUGUACACACCGCCCGUCGCACCUACCGAUUGGAUGGUCCGGUGAAGCCUCGGGAUUGUGGUUCUUGCCGCUUUAUUGUGGCGUGACCGCGAGAACUUGUCUAAACCUUAUCAUCUAGAGGAAGGUGAAGUCGUAACA